CUUGUGGGAGCCUUAAGGAAGAGACACAGGAACCUUGCUCCAAGGUUUGGGGCCUUACUGCCUGCCCAGGAGAGCCCUGAAUGCUUCCUGGAGGGAGAGGAUUCACUGGGAGACUCCCAGCAUUCCAUGCAGUCUCGCAGCUUCUCUGCUCUGCCUGCCUCAACGUCCCGCUGAGUUUCUGUGUCCCGCCCAUGAACCCGUGUUCGCUUGUGGGCGCCUUAAUGGAGAGACACAAGCACCUUGCUCCGAGGCCUGGAACUUUACAGCUUGCCCGGGAAAGCCCUGGGUCUUCUAGGGUGGAAGAGGCCUUUUGAAUCUGUGAAGAAGUAUUUCUCAGCCCACUGAAGCCUACAGUGAGAAACUGAAUAUACGAUGAUAAAAAGUAGAAAGAAGCUAUGUGUGAAAUUUCUUUGUGAUGUGUGGAUUCAGCUUACAGAGGUAAACCUUUCUUGUGAUUCAGCAGGUUGGAAACACUCUUUUUGGAGAAUCUGUGAAGGGACAUUACUGAGUCCACUAAGGCCUAUGGUGAAUAAAAGAAUAUCUUGUGAUAAAAACUAGAAAGAAGCUAUCUGUGAAGUGGCUUGUGAUGUGAGCCUUCAGCUCACAGAGUUAAGUCUUACUUUGGAUUCAGAUCAUUGGAAACACACAUUUGUAGAACCUGCAAAGGGACAUUUCAGAAACACUAGUCCUAAAGUGAACAACCAAAUAUUCCAUGAUUAAAAACUAGAAAGAAGGUAUCUGUGAAACUUUUUUGUGACGUAUGCAUUCGGCUCAAAGAGUUAAAACUUUCUUUGGAUUCACCAGUGGAAAGAUUCUUUUUGUACAAUCUUCAAAGGGACAUUUCUGAUCCCACUGAGGCCUGUAAUGAAAAAUUGAAUAUUCCACAAUAAUAAAUAGAAAGAAGUCAUCUGUUCAUCUAAUUUGUGAUGUAUGGAUUCAGCUCACAGAGAUAAACUUUUCUGUUGAUUUAGAAGGCUGGAAUAAUUCUUUUUAUAGAAUCUGCAAAGGGAUAUUUCAGAGCAAGCAGAAGUCUAUAAUGACAAACACAAUAUUCUGUGAUAAACACUAGAAAGAAUGUAUCUGUGAAAUGCUUUGUUAUGUAGACAUUCAGCUUACAGAAUUGAAAUUUUCCUUUUAUUCACCAGGUUGGAAAAACUCAUUUUGUAGAAUCUGCAAAGCUACAUUUUGGAGCCCAAUGUGACCUAUCAUGGGAAACAGAAUAUCCCAUGAUAAAAUCUAGAAAGAAGCUAUCUGUGAAACUGCUUUGUGAUCUGUAAAUUCAGUUCAAAAUGAUAAACAUUUCUUUUUAUUCAGCAGGUUGGAAACGCUCUUUUUGUAGAAUCUGUGAAUUAACAUUUUGGAGCGCACUGAGGCCUAUAGUGAAAAACUGAAAAUCCCACACUAAAAACUAGAAAGAAGCUAUCUGUGAAACUGCUUUGUGACAUGUGCAUUUCACUCACAGAGUUAAAUUCUUUCUGUGAUUCAGCAGGUUGGAAACAUUCUUUUUGGAGAAUCUAGGUAAAGGCAUUUCAGAGCCCACUGAGGACUAUAGUUUAAAACUGAAUAUCCUGCAAUAACCACUAGAAAGAAGCUGCCUGAAAAACUGCUUUGUGGUAGGUGGAUUCAGCUCCCAGGCUUAAAACUUUCUUUUUAUUCAGCAGGUUGGAAACAGUCUAUUUUUUAGAAUCUACAAAGGGACAUUUUGCAGUUCAGUGAAGCCUGCAGUGAGAAACAGAAUAAACUGUCACAAAAACUAGAGAGAAGCUAUCUGUGUAACGGAUUUUUGAUGUGUGUAUUCAGUUUACAGAGUUAAACCUUUCUUAUAAUUCAGCAGGUUGCAUACACUCUUUUGUAGAAUCUGCAAAGCAACAUUUCUGAUCCCCAUAAGGCCAAGAGUGAAAAACAGAAUAUCCCCCAAUAUAAACUAGAAAGAAGCUAUCUGUGAAAUUGCUUUGUGCUCUGUGGAUUCAGCUCACAGAAUUAAGCUUUACUUUGACACGGCAGGUUGGAAGCACUCUUUUUGUACAAUAAGUGAAGGGAUAUUUCAGAGCAAACUGAGGGCUAAAGUAAAAAACUGAAUAUCUCCCAAUCAAAACUAGAAAGAAUCUCUGUGUGAAUCUGCUUUGUUUAGUGUGGAUUCAGCUCUCAGAGUUAAACUUUUGUUUUGAUUCCACAGGUUGAAAACAUUCUCUUUGUAGAAUCUGAGAAGGAAUAUUUCAGAGCCCACUAAGACCUAUUAUGAAAAACUGAAUACUCCAUGAUAAAAACUAGAAAGAAAGUAUCCAUGAAACUGCUUUUUGAUGAGAGGAUUCAGGUACCAAAUUUAAACCUCUCUUUUCACUCAGAAGGUUUGGAAAACUUUUUUUUGAAGCAUUUGCGAAGAGACAUUUGGUGCCCACUGAGGCCUAUAGUGAAAAACAAAAUAUUCCCUGCAUAAAACUAGAAAGAAGCUAUCUGAGAAACUGCUUUGUCAUAUGUGGAUUCAACUCAAAGAGUUAAGCUUCUUUUGAUUCAGUAGGUUGGAAACACUCUUAUUGUAGCUUAUGUGAAGGGACAUUUUUGAGCCCACUGCAGCCUGUAGUGAAAAACUGAAUAUUCCAUGAUAAAUACUAGAAAGAAGCUGUCUGUGUAACUGCAUUAUGAAGCAUGGAUUAAGUUCAAAGAGUUAAAUCAUUCCUUUGAUUUAGCAGGUUGGAGGCACUUUUUUUUUAGAAUCUGCAAAGGGACAUUUUGGAGGCCACUGAAGCCUACAGUGUAAAACUGAAUAUCCCAUGAUAAAAACUAGAAAAAAAUUAUCUGGGAAACUGUUUUGUGAUACGUGCAUUUCACUCACAGAGUUAAACAUUUCUUUUUAUUCAGCAGGUUAGAAACCCUUUUUUUUUUUAGAAUCUGUGAACGGACAUUUCAGAGCCCACUGAGGCCUAUUGAGAAAAACUGAAUAUCCCAUGAUAAAAACUAGAAUGAAUCUCUCUGUGAAACUGCUUUGUCAUGUGUGCAUUCAGAUCACAGAGUUAAUCCUUUCUUUUGAUUCAGCAGGUAGGAAACACUAUUUUUGUAGAAUCUGCAAAGGGACAUUUUGGAGCCCACUGAGGCCAAUAGUGAGAAAUUGAAUAUCCUGUGAUAAAUACUAGAAAGAAAAAUCUGUUAAACUGCUUGUGAUGUGAGGAUUCAGCACACAGAGUUAAUACUUUCUUCUGAUUUUCCAGGUAGGAAUGAAUCUUUUUGUAGAAUCUGCAAAGGGACAUUCCGAAGGCCACUGAAGCCUAAAGUUUGAAACUGAAUAUCCCACCAUAAAAACUAGAAAAAAUCUCUCUGAGAAACUGCUUUGUGAUAUGUGCAUUCAGCUCACAGGGUUAAACCUUUCUUUUGAUUCAGCUGGUUGGAAAAACUCUUUUUGUAGAAUCUGUGAGGGAACAUUUUGGAGCCCACUGAGGCUUACAGUGAAAAAUUGAAUGUUCUGUGACUAAAACUAAAAAGAAGCUAUCAGUCAGACUGCUUUUGUUGUGUGGAUUCAGAUCACAGAAUAAAGCCUGUCUUUUGAUUCAGCAGGUUGGAAACACUGUAUUUGUAGCAUCUGAGAUGGGACAUUUUGUACCUAAAUGAGGCCCUUAGUGAAAAACAGAAUAUCCCACAAUAAAAACUAGAAAGAAGCUAUCUGUGAAACUUCUUUGUGAUGUGUGUAUUCAUUUCAGAGAGUUAAAGCUUUUUCUUGAUUCAGCAGAUUGGAAACACUCUUUGCAGUAUCAGCAAAGGGACAUUUCAGGGCCCACUGGGUUCAAAUGUCAAAAACUGAAUAUCUUGCAAUAAAAACUAGAAAGAAGCCAUAUGUGAAAUUGCUUUGUGAUGUCUGGAUUCUGCUCACUGAGUUAACCUUUUCUUUUGAUUCAGCAUGUUGAAAACUUUUUUUUGCAGUAUCUGUGAAGAGGCAUUUCAAAGCCAAUUGAGUUCAAAAGUGAAAAACCAAAAAUCACGCAAUAAAAACUAGAAAGAAAUGAUCUGUGAAACUGCAUUGUGAUGUGUGCCUUCCACUCAGAGUAAAACCUAUCUUUUGAUUAAGGAGGCUGUAGACUCUCUUUUUGUAGAAUCUCCAAAGAACCACUUCAUAGCCCACUGAGUCCAAAAGUGAAAAAAAGAAUAUCCCGUGAUAAAAACUAGAAAGAAGCUGAUUGUGAAACUGCUUUCUGAUGUGUGUAUUCUGCUCACAGUGUUAAACUUUACUUUUGAUUCACCAGGUUUAAUACACUCAUUUGUAGAAUCUACAAAGGAUCAUUUCAGAGCAAAGUGAGGCCUAUGAUGCAGAACUGAUCAUCCCACAAUAAAAAGUUGAAAGAACCUAUCUGUGAAACUGCUUUGUGAUGUGUACAUUCAGUUCACAGAGUUUAAUCUUUCUUUUGAUUAAGCAGGUUUGAAACACUCUUUUUGUAGAAUCUCUGAAAGGACAUUUUAGAGCCAACAGGAUAAAAACUUGAAAUAAGCUGUCUGUGAAACUGCUUUGUAAUGUGUGGAGUAAAGUCACAGAGUUAAAACCUUCUUUUGAUUCAGCAGGUUUGAAAUACUCUUUUUUUAGAAUCUGCAAAUGGAUAUUUUGGAGAUGACUUAGUCCUAUAGUGAAAACCUGAAAUAUCCCAUGAUAAAAAACUAGAAAAAACUAUCUGUGAAUCUACUUUGUGGUGUGUAGAUUUAGCUCACUGUGUUGAAGAUUUCUUUUAAUUAAGAAGUUGGAAGAAGGCUUAUUGUAGAAUCUACUAUGGGACAUUUUGGUGCCCAGUUAACCAUAUAGUGAAAAAUCGUGUAUCUUGAGAUAAAAACUGGAAAGAAGUUCUCUGUGAAACUGCUUUGUGAUGUGUGCAUUCAGUUCACGGAGUUAAAUCUGUUUUUUGAAUCAGCAGAUUGGAAACAGUUUUUUGUCAAAUCUGUGAAUAGACAUUUGGGAGGCUACUGAGGCCUGUAGUAAAAAAACGAAUAUCCCGAGAUAAAAAUUAGAAAGAAGUUAUCUGUGAAACUGCUUUUUGAUGUGUGGAUUCAGUUCAGAGUUCAACGUUUCUUUUGUUUCAGCAAGUUGGAAACACCCUUUUUGUAAGUUUGUGAAGAAAUAUUUCAAAGCCCAAUGACACCUUUAUUGAAAAACUGAAUAUCCAUGAUAAGAACUAGAAAAAAGCUAUCUGUGAAACUGCUUUGUAAUGUGUGGAUUCAGCUCACAGAGUUAAACAUUUCUUUUGUUUCAGCAAAUUGGAAGCACUCUUUUUGAAAAAUCUGUGAAGAAAUAUUUUGGAGCCCACUGAUGCCUAUAUUGAAGAAAAGAAUUUCCAUCAACAAAAGCUAGAAAGAAGCUAUCUGUGAAACUCCUUUGUGAUGUGUACAUUCAGAUCACAGAUAUAAACCGUUUUUUGAUUCAGCAGGUUGGAAACACUCUUUCUGUAGAAUCUAUGAGGGGACAUUUCUGAGCCCACUGACACAUUUACUAAAAAAACUAACAUUGUGAGAUAAAAACUAGAAUGAAUCUAUAGGUGAAAUUUCUUUUUGAUGUCUGUAUUCACCUCACAGACUUAAACCUUUCUUUUGAUUCAUUAUUUUGGAAACACUCUUUUUGUAGGUCUGUGAAGGGACAUUUCAGAGGCCACUAAUGCCUAUUGUGAAACAGUGAAUAUCUUGCAAUACAAACUAGAAAGAAGUUAUCUGUGAAAUUAUUUUUUGUUGUGUGAAUUCAGCUCACAGUUAAUCCUUGCUUUUGAUUCAGCAGGUUGGAAACGCUUUUUUUGUAGAAUCUGCAAAUGGAUAUUUUGGAGCCCACUGAGGCUUAUAGUGAAAAACUGUAUAGCCUAUGACAAAACUUUUGAUGAAACCAUGUGUGAAACUACUUUGUGAUGCCUGGAUUCAGCUCACAGACUUAAACCAUACCAUUGAUUCAGAAGCAGGGUGAAAACACUUUUUUUGUUGAAUCUGCGAAAAGACAUUUCAUAGCCGACUGAAGCUGAUAGUGAAAAACAGCAUAUCCCAAGAUUAAAAGUCAAAAUAAGCUCUCUGUGAAACUACUUUGUGAUGGAUGGAUUAAGCUCACAGGGUUAAACCUUUGUUUUGAUUCUGCUGUUUAAAAACACUCUUUUUGUAGAAUAUGUGAAGAGACAUUUUGAAGCCGAUUGAGGACUGUAGUGAAAAACUGAAUAUCCCAAAAUAAAAAUUAGAAAGAAGCUACAUGUAAUACUACUUUGUAACGUGUGGAUUCAUCUCACAAAGUUAAACCUUUCUUUUGAUUCAGCAGUUUGGAAACACUCGUUUUGUAGAAUCUGCGAAGGGACUUUUGGAGCCCAUUGAGGCCUAUAGUGAAAAAAUUAAUAGCCCUAGUUAAAAAACUAGAAAGAUGCUAUCUCUGAAACCACUUAGUGAUGUGUGGAUUUAUCUCACAGAUUUAAACCUUUCUUUUGAUUCAGCAGGUUGGAAACACUCUUUUUGUUCAAUCUGCAAUGGCACAUUUCAGUGCCCAAUGUUGCCUAUAGUGAUAAAAAGGCACUCUUUUUGUAGAAACUGUGAAGGAACAUUUGGGACCUCACUGAGUUCUUACAUGAAAAGCAGAGUAUUCCUCAAUGAAAACUGGAAAGAAUCUAUCUGUGAAACUGCUUUGUGAUGUGUGGUUUCAGCUCACAGAAUUAAAACUUUUUUUUUAUUAUUCAGCUAGUUGAAGCAAUCAUUUUGUAGAUUUAUUUCAGAGCCCACUUACACCUAUAGUGAAAAACUGAAUAUAUUGGAGAAAACUAAAGCAAGCUAUUGUGAAAUUUGUUUGUGAUGUGUGGAUUCAGUUCACUGUGUUAAAACUUUCUUUUGACUCAGGAUGUUGGCAGCACUCUUUUUAUAUAAUCUCCAAAAGGAUAUUUCAGAGCUCAUUGAGGUUAUAGUGAAAAAACGAAUAUCUUAUAAUAAAAACUAGAAAGAAACUAUCUGUUAAACUGCUUUGUGAUGUGAGGAUUCAGCUCACAGAGUUAAAUGUUUCCUUCGAAGAAGUAGGUUGGAAACCUUUUUUUGCAGAAAAUGUGAAGGGACAUUUCCGAGUCCUUUGAAGCCUAUACUGAAUAACCAAAUAUCCCAUGAUAAAAACUAGACAGAAUUUAUUUGUGAAACCGUUUUGUGAUGUGUGCACUCAGCUCACAGAGUUCACAAUUUUCUUAAAUUCAGAGUUAAACGUUUCUUUUGAUUCAUCAGUUUGGAAACACUCUUUUUUAGAAUCUGUGAAGGGUCAUUUCAGAACCCAAUGAGGCCUACAGUGAAAAUUGAAUAUCCCUUGAUUAAAACGAGAAAGACGCUAUCUGUGAAACUGCUUAGAGAUGUGUGGAUUCAGCUCACAGAGUUAAAAUUUGUUUUGAUUCAAUAGGUUGGAAACACUCUUUUUGUAGAAUCAGUGAAGUUACAUUUUGGAGCUCACUGAGACCUAUAAUAAAAAAUGGUAUAACCCAUGAUAAAAACUAGAAUUAAGCUAUCUGUUUUAUUACUUUUUGAUGCAUAAAAACAACUAACAGAGUUAAACUUUUAUUUUAUUUAGUAAAUUGGAACCACUGAUUUUGUAGGAUCUGUGAAGGGACAUUUUGCAGCCUACUGAGUCCUAUAUUGAAAACUGAACAUCCCAUGAAAAAAACUAGAAAGAAGCGAUUGAUGAGAUUUCUUUGUGGUGUGUGCAUUUAGCUCAGAGUAUAACUUUUCUUUUGAUUCAACAGGUUGGAAACACUCUUUUUGUAGAAAGUGUGAAGGGACAUUUCAAAGCCCACUGAGCCCUAAAAUGAAAGAUAAAAUAUCUCAAUAAAAACUAGAAAGAAGGUGUCUGUGAAACUGCUUUGUGAUGUGUGGAUAGAGCUAACAGAGUUAAACCUUUCUUUUCAUUCAGCAAGUUGGAAAUACUCUUUAAGGAGAUACUGUGAAGGGACAUUUCAGAAAAAAACAGAGGUUAAUAUUGAAAAAUUGAAUAUCCCAUGAAGAAAAACUAUCUUUCAAACAGCAUUGUGGUGUGUAUAUUCAGCUCACAGAGUUAAACCUCUCUUUAAAUUCAGCAGAUUGGAAAUAUUUCCAUUGUUUCAGCAGGUAGGAAACACUCUUUUUGUAGAAGCUACAAAGGGACAUUUCAGAGCCCACUGAGACCUAUUAUAAAAAAUUGACUAUCUGACAAUAAAAACUAGAAAUAAGCUAUCAUCUGUGAAACUGCUUUGUAACAUUUGGAUUGAGCUCACAGAAUUAAAACUUUCCCUCGAUUCAGAAGGCUGGAACUACUCUUUUUGUAGAGUCUGCAAUGGAAUAUUUUGGAACCCACUGAGGCCUAUGAAGAAAAACUGAAUAUCCUUGAACAAAAAAUAGUAAGAAGCUUCAGUUAAGCUGAUUUGUGAUGUGUGUAUUCAGCUCACACAUUAAACCUUUCUUCUGAUUUAGUAGGUUAAAAAUACUCUUCUUGUAGCAUCUACAUGGGGACAUUUCAGAGCCCACUGAGUCCAAUAGUGAAAAAAUGAAUAUCCCAUGAUAACUAGAAAGAAGCUAUCUGUGAAACUGCUUUGUGAUGUGUGCAUUCCUCUCACAAAGUUAAAUUUUUCUUUUGAUUCAGCAGAUGGGAAAAACUCUUUUUAUGUAAUGUGUGAGUGGACAUUUCAGACCCCCUGAGAUGAGUAAUGAAAAACAAUAUUCUAUGAUAAAAUCGAGAAAGAAGCUAUCUGUGAAACCGUUUUGUGAUGUGAAGAUUUACCUCACAGAUUGAAACCUUUUUUUGGAUUCAGUGCAUUGGAAACACUCUAUUUGUAGAGUCUGUGAUGGGACAUUUCAGAGCCCACUCACACCUAUCGUGAAAAACCAAAUAUUCUGUGAUAAAAGCUAGAAAGAAGUUACCUGUGAAACUGCUUUGUGAUGUGUGGAUUCAGCUCGGAGAGUUAAACUAUUCUUUUCAUUCAGCAGGUUAGAACACUCUUUUGGUAGAAUUUGCAAAACUAUAUUUCACAGCCUACUGAGUCCUAUAGUGAAAAACUGAUUAUCCCGUGAUAAAAACUAGAAAAAAAAAUUUAUCUUGGAAACUGCUUUGUGAUGUGUGCAUUUAGCUCACAGAGUUCAAAAUUUCUUUCAUUUCAGCAGGUGGAAAACAUUCUUCUUGUAAAAUCUGUGAAAAGACAUUUCAGACACCCCUGAGACCAAUAGUGAAAAACUGUAUAUCCUGUGAUAGAAACAAGAAAGAAGCUAUUUGUGAAAGUGCUUUGAGAUGUGUGGAUUCAGCUCACAGAGUUAAACCUAUCAUUUGAUACAACAGGUAGGGAACCCUCUUUCUUUUUUUUGUAGAAUCUGGUAAAGGGCAUUUCAGAGCAAGCUGAGUACUAUAGUGAAAAACUGAAUAUACCAUCAUAAAACUAGAAAGAAACUAUCUGUGAAGCUGAUUUGGUAUGUGUGUAUUAAGCUAACAAAGUUAGAACUUCUUUUUGAUUCAGCAAGUUGAAAACAAAGUUUUUGUAGACUCUGCCAAUGGACAUUUCAGAGUAAACUGAGGCCUAUAGUGGAAAACAUAUUAUCCCACUAUAAAAAUUAUAAAGAAACUUUCUGUGAAACCGCUUUGUGAUGUGUGCUUUCAACUCAGUGAGUUAAACCUUUCUCCUGAUUAAGGAGUUUGGAAACACUCUCUUUGUAGAAUCUGCAAAAGGACAUUUUGCAUCUGACUGAGGCCUAUAAGGAGAAACCACAUAUCCAUUUAAAAACAAAAAAACAGAAAGAAGCUAAUUUUGAAACUGUUUUGGGAUGUGUACAUUCACUUGACAGUGUUAAAACUUUCUUUUGAUGUACCAGGUUGAAAACACUCUUUUUGUAAAAUCAGCAAAGGAAGAUUUCAGAGUGCACUGGAGCCUAUACAGAAAACCUGAAUACCCUGCAAUAAAAACUAGAAUGAAGCUAUCUGUGAAACUGCUUUGUUAUGUGUGGAUUCAGCUCGUAGAGUUAAAUCUUUCUUUUGAUUCAGCAGGUUGGAAACCCUCUUCUGACAGUAUCUGCAAAGGUACAUUUCAGAACUCAAUUUGGCCUAAUAGUGAAAAACUGAAUAUUCUGCUAUAAUUAAUAGAAAGAAGCUAUCUUGAAACUGCCUUGUGAUGUGUAAGUUCUGCUCACAGAAAAACUUUUCUUUAGAUUCAGCACAUUAGAAACACUCUUUUUGUAGAAUCUGUGAAUGGACAUUUCUGAGCCUACUGAAACCUAUAGUGAAAACAGAAUAUCUUGUGAUAUAAACUAGAAAGAAGCUAUUUGCAAAACUCCCCUGUGAUGUGAUUGUACAGUUCAAAGAGUUAAAUCUUUCUUUUGUUCAGAAGGUUGGAAGAGCUUUUUUUACAGAAACUGCUUUGGAGCCCACUGAGACCUGUAGUAAAAACUGAAUAUGCCAUCAUAAAAACUAGAAGGAAGCUCUCUGUGAAACUGCUUCCUGAUGUGUGCAUUCAGCGAACAGAGUUAAACCUGUCUUUGGAUUCAGUAGAUUAGAAACACUCUACCGGUAGAAUCUGCGAGGGGACAUUUUGGAGACGUUUGAAGCCUAUAGUGAAAAACAGAAUAUCCCGUGAUAUAAACUAGAAGGAAGCUAUCUGUGAAACUGCUUUGUGAUGUGUGAAUUCAUUUCACAGAGUUAAAACUUUCUUUUGAUUCAGCAGCUUGAAACACUUUAUUUGUAGAAUCUGCGAAUAGACAUUUUGGAGAACACUGACACCUUUAGUGAAAAACAGAACAUCCCGUGAUAAUAACUGGAAAGAAACUAUCUGUUAAACAGUUUUGUGAUAUUUGGAUUCAGUUCACAGAGUUACAUUGUUUUUGAUUCAGCAGGUUGAAUCACUCUUUUAGUGGAAUCUGUGAGUAUGCAUUUCAGAGCCGACUGAGGCCUUUAGUGAAAAACGGAAUAUGUCACAAUAAAAAGUAGAAAGAAUUUAUCUGUAAAACUGCUUUAUGAUGUGUAGAUCGUGCACACAAAGCUAAACUUUUUUUUUUUUUUGAUUCAGUAGAUUGUAAACACUGUUUUUUGUAGAAUCUUCCAAGGGACAUUUGGAGCCAUCUGCGGCCUAUAGUAAAAGACAAAAUACCCCAUGAUAAAAACUAGAAAGAAGCUAUAUGUGAAACUGCUUAGUGAUCAGUGGAUUCAGGUCACAGAGCUAAACCUUUCUUUUGAUUCAGUAGGUUGGAAACCCUCUUAGUAUCUUGGAAGGGACAUUUCAGAGCCCACUAAGGAGUAUAGUGAAAAAACGAAUAUCCCAUGAUAAAACUAGAAAGAAGCUAUCUGUGAAACUGCUUUGUGAGGUGUAGAUUCAACUUACAGAGUUAAACCUUUCUUUUGACUCAGCAACUUGUAAAAACUCUUUUUGUAGAAUCUGGGAAGGAAUAUUUUGGAGCCCACAGAGGCCUACAGUGAAAACAAAAUACCCCGCAGUAAAAACUAGAAGGAAGCUGUCUCUAAAACUACUUUGUGGUUUGUGGGUUUACCUAACAGAGUUAAACCUUUCUUUUGAUUUAGCAGGUUGUAAACACACCUUUUGUAAAAUCUGCAAAUUUACAUUUUGGAGCAAACUGAGUCCUAUAGUGAAAAAACAAAAAAUCCCAUGAUAAAAACUGGAAAGAACCUAUCUGUGAAAACUUGUGAUGUGUGCAUUCAGUUCACAGUGUUAAACUUUUCUUUUGAUUCAGCAGGAUGGAAACAGUCUCUUUGUGCAAUCUGUGAAUGGAUAUUUCUUAGCACAAAGAGGUCUACAGUUAAAAACUGAAAAUCUUGUGAUAAAAACUAGAAAGAAGCUAUCUAUGGAACUGCUUUGUCAGGUGCAGGUUCAACUCACAGAGGUAAACCUAUCUUUCAAUUCAGCAGGUUGUAAACACUCUUUCUGCAGAAUCUGCAAAGGGACAAUUCAAAUCCCUCUGAGUCCUAUAGUGAAAAACUGAAAAUCCCGUGACAAAAACCAGACCAAAACUGUCUGUUAAACUGCUUUGUAAUGUGUGGAUUUAGCUCACAGAGGUACAACUUUCUUUGUAUUUAGCAGGUUGUAAACACUCUUUUUGUAAAAGCUGCAACAAGAUAUUUCAAAGUCCACUGAGGGCUAUAUGGAAAAUGGAAUAUCCCACAAUAAAAACUAGAAAGUAGCUAUCUGUGAAACUUCUUUUUGAUGUGUGCAAUCAGCUCACAGACUUAAAUAUUUCUUCUCAUUCAGCAGGUUGUAAACACUCUUGUUUUCGAAUUUGCAAAGGGACACUUCACAGGGCACUGAGGCCUGUAGUGAAAACCUGAAUAUCCUGUGGAAAAAAAAAACUUGAAAGAAGCUAUCUGUGAAACUACUUUGUGAUGUGUGGAUUCAGCUGACAAAUUUGUAUUUUUUUUUUUUAUUUAGCAGAGUGGAACAUUAUUUUCUUAGAAUCUGCAAAAAGACAUUUUGAAGCCCACUGAGGGCUAUGUUGAAAAUCUGAAUAUUUCAAGAUAAACAGUAGAAAGAAGCUAUCUGUGAAACUGCUUUGUGAUGUGUGGAUUCAGCUCACAAAGUUAAACCUUUCUUUUGAUUCUCCAGAUUGGAAACACACUUUUUGUAGAAUAUGUGAAGGGACAUUUCAGAGCUCCCUGAGGCCUAUAGUAAAUAAAUGGAUAUCCCAUGAUAAAAACUUUGAAGAAACUACUGUGAAACUGCUUUGUGAUAUGUGGAUUCAACUCACAGAGUUAACCUUUAUUUUGGUUAAGCAGGUUGUAAACAUUCUUUUUGAAUAAUCUGGGAAGGGACAUUUCAGAGCCCACUGAGGCCUAUAGUGAAAACUGAAUACCCUGCGAUUAAAACUAGAAGGAAGCUAUGUGUGAAGCUGCUUUGUGAUGUGUGGGCUCAGCUAACAGAAUUAACCCAUUCUUUUCAUUCAGCAGGUUGUAAACACUCUUUCUUUAGAAUUAGCAUAUUGACAUUUCAGAGCAAACAGUCCUACAGUGAAAAACUGAAAAGCUCAUAAUUAAAAUUAGAAAGAAGCUAUCUGUGAAACUUUGUGAUGUUUGCAUUCAGUUCACAGAGUUAAACCUUUCUUUUCAUUCAGCAUGUUGGAAAUACUACUUUUGUAGGAUCUGUGAAGGAACAUUUCUUAGCCCGCCAAGGCCUAUAGAUAAAAACAAAAAAUCCUAUUAUAAAAACCAGAAAGAAGCUAUCUGUAACACUGCUUUGAGAGGUCUGGGUUCAACUCUCAGAGUUAAACCUGCCUUUUGAUUCAGCAGGUUGUAAACACUCUUUUUGUAGAAUCUGUAAAGGGACAUUUUGCAGCCUACUAUGUCCUAUAUCGAAAACUUGAAUAUCUUAUGAUAAAAACUAGAUAGAGCCUAUCUGUUAAACUGCUUUGUCCUGUAUGGAUUCAGCUCACAGAGGUAAAUCUUUUUUUUUUUUUUAUUUAGCAGGUUGGAAACACUCUUUUUGUAGAAGCUGCAAAGAGGCAUUUCAAAGUCCACUGAGUACUAUGUUGAAAAAUAGAAUAUCCCGUGAUAAAAACUAAAAAGAAGCUAUCUGUGAAAUUGAUUAGUGAUGUGUGGAUUCAGCACACAGAGUUAAACCUUUCUUUUCAUUCAGCAGGUUGGAAACAGUCUUAUUUUCAAAUCUGCGAAGGGACACUUUGAAGGCCACUGAGGCCUAUAGUGAAAAACCAAAUAUCCAAUGAAAACAACUAGGAAGAAUCUACCUGUGAUGUGUGGACUCAGCUCACAAACUUGUACAUUUCUUUUGAUUAGCAGGCUGAAAACACUUUUUUUUAGAGUCUGUGAAUAGACAUUUCGAAGCCCACUGAGGGCUAUGAUGAAAAGCAGAAAGAACCCAUCUGAAACUGCUUUGUGAUGUAUGGAUUCAGCUCACAAAGUUAAACUUUCCUUUUGAUUUUCUGGUUUAGUAAACACACUUUUUGUGGUAUAUGCAAAGGGACAUUUCAGAGCUUUCUGAGGCCUAUAGUGAAAAAGUGAAUAUCCCAUGAUAAAAACCUUAAAGAAGCUAUAUCUGUGAAACUGCUUUGUGAUAUGUGGAUUCAGGUCAAAGAGAUAAACCUUUCUUUUGAUUCAACAGGUUGGAAAAACUCUUUUUGUAGAAUCUGCAAAGGGGCAUUUCAGGGGCCAAAGAUGACUACAGUGUAAAACUGAAUAUCCCCUGAUGCAAACUACAAAGAAACUACCUGUGAAACUGCUUUGUGAUGUGUGCAUUCAGUUCACAUAGUUAAACCUGUCUUUUGAUUCCGCAGGUUGGAAACACUCUUUUUGUAGAGUCUGUGAAAUGCCAUUUUGCAGCCCACUUCAGGCCUAUAGAGAAAAACCAAAUAUCCCGCAAUAAAAACUAGAAAGAAGCUAUCUUUGAAACUGCUUUUGAUGUGUUGAUUCAGCUCACAGAGUUAAACCUUUCUUUUGAUUCAACAGGUUGGAAAAACUCUUUUUGUAGAAUCUGCAAAGAGACAUUUCAGAGCCCAUUGAAACCUAUAGUGAAAAACCAAAUAUCCCG
rnacentral:lncRNA from 10 species